rnacentral:rRNA from 1 species
GUAGGGAAUAUUGCACAAUGGGCGAAAGCCUGAUGCAGCAACGCCGCGUGCGCGAAGAAGGCCUUCGGGUUGUAAAGCGCUUUUCGGGGAGAAGAGGAAGGACAGUAUCCCCGGAAUAAGGCUCGGCUAACUACGUGCCAGCAGCCGCGGUAACACGUAGGAGCCAAGCGUUAUCCGAAUUCACUGGGCGUAAAGCGCGUGUAGGCGGUCUUACAAGUUGGGUGUGAAAGCUCCUGGCUCAACUAGGAGAGGACGUUCAAUACUGUGAGACUAGAGGACGGCAGAGGAAGGUGGAAUUCCCGGUGUAGUGGUGAAAUGCGUAGAUAUCGGGAGGAACACCAGAGGCGAAGGCGGCCUUCUGGGCCGAUCCUGACGCUCAGACGCGAAAGCUAGGGGAGCGAACGGGAUUAGAUACCCGAGUAGUCC